UCACUGUGAUGACUGACUUCCAACAUUCGCAGUUUCCACCAGAAGGGUUUCCCCCUUAUGUUGUGCUAUCUUCCUUGGAUGUCUGAGUGA
rnacentral:snoRNA from 1 species